rnacentral:rRNA from 1 species
UACGUAGGUCCCGAGCGUUGUCCGGAUUUAUUGGGCGUAAAGCGAGCGCAGGUGGUUUAUUAAGUCUGGUGUAAAAGGCAGUGGCUCAACCAUUGUAUGCAUUGGAAACUGGUAGACUUGAGUGCAGGAGAGGAGAGUGGAAUUCCAUGUGUAGCGGUGAAAUGCGUAGAUAUAUGAGGAACACCGGUGGCGAAAGCGGCUCUCUGGCCUGUAACUGACACUGAGGCUCGAAAGCGUGGGGAGCAAACAGG